UACGUAGGGAGCAAGCGUUGUUCGGAUUUACUGGGCGUAAAGGGCGCGUAGGCGGCGUGACAAGUCACUUGUGAAAUCUCCGGGCUUAACUCGGAACGGCCAAGUGAAACUGUCAUGCUAGAGUGCAGAAGGGGCAAUCGGAAUUCUUGGUGUAGCGGUGAAAUGCGUAGAUAUCAAGAGGAACACCUGAGGUGAAGACGGGUUGCUGGGCUGACACUGACGCUGAGGCGCGAAAGCCAGGGGAGCAAACGGG
rnacentral:rRNA from 1 species